AAAAUUCAAUUUCAAUAUGAACAUUGUCCAAGAGAGGUCUGAAAUUCUUUGUAGCAUGGUUUGACGUUGAUGGGAUCUCUGCACAUAUGCAAGUGUAAAAAGCAGGCCAGAAAAUGUAUUUUCAAAAUUUUCAAACAUUAAAAUGCUUGAACAGAAGCUUGAAGUAGAAGUAACAGUUCUAAGUUUCAGACAUAACACUUCUUCAAAGUGUUAACUACUCUUGACUCAUGUCUGUGG